CCUACGGGUGGCAGCAGUGAGGAAUAUUGGUCAAUGGACGAGAGUCUGAACCAGCCAAGUAGCGUGAAGGAUGACUGCCCUAUGGGUUGUAAACUUCUUUUAUAAAGGAAUAAAACGAGGCACGUGUGCCUUUUGGCAUGUACGUUAUGAAGAAGGAUCGGCUAACUCCGUGCCAGCAGCCGCGGUAAUACGGAGGAUCCGAGCGUUAUCCGGAUUUAGUGGGUUUAAAGGGAGCGUAGAGGGGUUGUUAAGUACGUGGGGAAAGUUUGCGGCUCAACCGUAAAAUUGCAAUUGAUACUGGCAGUCUUUCGUUCAGUUGUGGUCGGCGGACUUCGUGGUGUAGCGG
rnacentral:rRNA from 1 species